rnacentral:rRNA from 1 species
GAUGAACGCUGGCGGCGUGCCUAAUACAUGCAAGUCGAGCGAACAGACGAGGAGCUUGCUCCUUUGACGUUAGCGGCGGACGGGUGAGUAACACGUAGGUAACCUACCUAUAAGACUGGGAUAACUUCGGGAAACCGGAGCUAAUACCGGAUAAUAUUUCGAACCGCAUGGUUCGAUAGUGAAAGAUGGCUUUGCUAUCACUUAUAGAUGGACCUGCGCCGUAUUAGCUAGUUGGUAAGGUAACGGCUUACCAAGGCAACGAUACGUAGCCGACCUGAGAGGGUGAUCGGCCACACUGGAACUGAGACACGGUCCAGACUCCUACGGGAGGCAGCAGUAGGGAAUCUUCCGCAAUGGGCGAAAGCCUGACGGAGCAACGCCGCGUGAGUGAUGAAGGUCUUCGGAUCGUAAAACUCUGUUAUUAGGGAAGAACAAACGUGUAUGUAACUGUGCACGUCUUGACGGUACCUAAUCAGAAAGCCACGGCUAACUACGUG